rnacentral:rRNA from 1 species
GAUGAACGCUAGCUACAGGCUUAACACAUGCAAGUCGAGGGGAAACGAUAUUGGAAGCUUGCUUCCGAUAGGCGUCGACCGGCGCACGGGUGAGUAACGCGUAUCCAACCUGCCCAUCACUUGGGGAUAACCUUGCGAAAGUAAGACUAAUACCCAAUGACGUCUCUAGAAGACAUCUGAAAGAGAUUAAAGAUUUAUCGGUGAUGGAUGGGGAUGCGUCUGAUUAGCUUGUUGGCGGGGUAACGGCCCACCAAGGCGACGAUCAGUAGGGGUUCUGAGAGGAAGGCCCCCCCACAUUGGAACUGAGACACGGUCCAAACUCCUACGGGAGGCAGCAGUGAGGAAUAUUGGUCAAUGGACGAGAGUCUGAACCAGCCAAGUAGCGUGCAGGAUGACGGCCCUAUGGGGUUGUAAAACUGCUUUUAUAAGGGAAUAAAGUGAGUCUCGUGAGACUUUUUGCAUGUACCUUAUGAAUAAGGACCGGCUAAUUCCGUGCCAGCAG